UCCUACGGGAGGCAGCAGUGGGGAAUAUUGCACAAUGGGCGCAAGCCUGAUGCAGCCAUGCCGCGUGUGUGAAGAAGGCCUUCGGGUUGUAAAGCACUUUCAGUCGUGAGGAAGGUAGUGUAGUUAAUAGCUGCAUUAUUUGACGUUAGCGACAGAAGAAGCACCGGCUAACUCCGUGCCAGCAGCCGCGGUAAUACGGAGGGUGCGAGCGUUAAUCGGAAUUACUGGGCGUAAAGCGCAUGCAGGUGGUUUCUUAAGUCUGAUGUGAAAGCCCACGGCUCAACCGUGGAGGGUCAUUGGAAACUGGGAGACUUGAGUGCAGAAGAGGAAAGUGGAAUUCCAUGUGUAGCGGUGAAAUGCGUAGAGAUAUGGAGGAACACCAGUGGCGAAGGCGACUUUCUGGUCUGUAACUGACACUGAGGCGCGAAAGCGUGGGGAGCAAACAGGAUUAGAUACCCUGGUAGUCCACGCCGUAAACGAUGAGUGCUAAGUGUUAGAGGGUCUCCGCCCUUUAAUGCUGAAGUUAACGCAUUAAGCACUCCGCCUGGGGAGUACGGCCGCAAGGCUGAAACUCAAAUG
rnacentral:rRNA from 1 species